CCAAGUGAGGGCUCCUGACAGAAAGCCAGAGCUGAAGAUUAAAACAAUGGCAUGGAAUGGAAUCCUACACCUCUAAUUGGACAAAACCAGAGAAAAGUAUCAGAACGGGGCAAGAGGACAUCCACAGAGCAAGGAGGCACAGAGGUUGGAUCUGAUGGAGGAGAAAAACCAAGAUAACUAGCACAGCUAUUCUUAGCAGUGAAGUUGGCAUUAGUAUUAAUAUUAGUAUUAACCAUUGCAAAUUAAUAUUAUUGCUAUUACCAUUGUGUAUCUCUAGUAACAGGACCUGUUUCUUUUAUUAUAGAUCUGAGUUUUCGGC
rnacentral:lncRNA from 1 species